rnacentral:rRNA from 1 species
AACGAACGCUGGCGGCAUGCCUAACACAUGCAAGUCGAACGAGACCUUCGGGUCUAGUGGCGCACGGGUGCGUAACGCGUGGGAACCUGCCCUUAGGUUCGGAAUAACUCCCCGAAAGGGGUGCUAAUACCGGAUAAUGUCUUCGCACCAAAGAUUUAUCGCCUUGGGAUGGGCCCGCGUUGGAUUCGCUAGUUGGUAGGGUAAAAGCCUGCCAAGGCGACGAUCCAUGGCUGGUCUGAGAGGAUGAUCAGCCACACUGGGACUGAGACACGGCCCAGACUCCUACGGGAGGCAGCAGUGGGGAAUAUUGGACAAUGGGCGAAAGCCUGAUCCAGCAAUGCCGCGUGAGUGAUGAAGGCCUUAGGGUUGUAAAGCUCUUUUACCCGGGAUGAUAAUGACAGUACCGGGAGAAUAAGCUCCGGCUAACUCCGUG